GGAUCCUGAAUAUUACAUGACUCAACAAUUAACAGAAAAGAGUGAUGUCUAUAGCUUUGGUGUGGUAAUGCUUGAGCUGGUAACUGCCAAGCAACCAAUUGAGAAAGGAAAGUACAUUGUUCGCGAAGUACGAAUGGCAAUGGACAAAAAUGAUGAAGAACACUAUGGGUUGAAGGAAAUAAUGGAUCCAGCCAUUAGAAACUCUACAAAUCUUGUUGGGUUUGGAAGGAUCGUGGAUUUGGCUAUGCAAUGUGUGGAAGAAUCAGCUGCAGAACGUCCAACAAUGAGUGAAGUGGUGAAGGAAAUAGAGACUAUAUUACAAAAUGAUGGAAUGAACACAAACUCAACCUCAGCUUCCUCAUCUGCGACUGACUUUGGAGCUUCAAGAGGUGCUCCAAGACACCCUUACAAUGAUGUGCCUAAGAAGGAUGUUAAUGACUUACAUGCUUUUGAUUACAGUGGAGGUUACUCACUUCCAGCAAAAGUAGAGCCCAAGUAACACAUAUGCUUUCCAUUGGAUUCCCCCACACCCACCCCUUCUUUUUUCUCUCUUCUUUCUAUACAUAUAUAUAUACAUGUGCUAAGAUAAAAACUAUUUGCCAUUGUUGUCAGGUCUUUUUCAUUAGAAAGUUUUUUGUCAGGUUUUCUAAUUAAAAAUUGUUUUGAUCAAUGGUAUUAUUAUGUCAAUUAGGUUCAAUUGUUAUGCUAUUUCACAGCUUUUAGGAUUUAUUUGAUACCAAUAUUUUCUUUUUUCUUUGAUUUUUUUUUAGUUAAAGUAGUGAGUGUGAGAUUUGUAUUGUAAUUACAAUUCUGAAUAUGAGAAAGGAACUCUAAUGGGAAUAUGUUGGAGAGGUUUAUGAUUACCAUUUUAUAAAAACUAAAUUCAGAC
rnacentral:misc_RNA from 1 species